UACGAAGGGGGCUAGCGUUGCUCGGAAUCACUGGGCGUAAAGGGUGCGUAGGCGGCUCUUUAAGUCUGGGGUGAAAUCCUGGAGCUCAACUUCAGAACUGCCUUUGAUACUGAGGAUCUUGAGUUCGGGAGAGGCGAGUGGAACUGCGAGUGUAGAGGUGAAAUUCGUAGAUAUUCGCAAGAACACCGGUGGCGAAGGCGGCAUCCUGGACCGGCAUUGACGCUGAGGCGCGAAAGCCAGGGGAGCAAACGGG
rnacentral:rRNA from 1 species